GUGCCAGCAGCCGCGGUAACACGUAGGGUGCGAGCGUUGUCCGGAAUUAUUGGGCGUAAAGAGCUCGUAGGCGGUGUGUCGCGUCGGCCGUGAAAACCUACAGCUUAACUGUGGGCGUGCGGUCGAUACGGGCAUCACUGGAGUUCGGCAGGGGAGACUGGAAUUCCUGGUGUAGCGGUGAAAUGCGCAGAUAUCAGGAGGAACACCGGUGGCGAAGGCGGGUCUCUGGGCCGAUACUGACGCUGAGGAGCGAAAGCGUGGGGAGCGAACAGGAUUAGAUACCCUGGUAGUCC
rnacentral:rRNA from 1 species